rnacentral:rRNA from 1 species
UACGAAGGGGGCUAGCGUUGUUCGGAAUUACUGGGCGUAAAGGGCGCGUAGGCUGUGCUGUAAGUCAGGCGUGAAAUCCCCGGGCUCAACCUGGGAAUUGCGUUUGAUACUGCGGCGCUUGAAUGCAGGAGAGGAUGGCGGAAUUCCCAGUGUAGAGGUGAAAUUCGUAGAUAUUGGGAAGAACACCGGUGGCGAAGGCGGCCAUCUGGCCUGUGAUUGACGCUGAGGCGCGAAAGCGUGGGGAGCAAAC